rnacentral:lncRNA from 1 species
CUGUGUCAAGAGGUGUGCGUUUAUCUGCCUGACGAGAUGAGGUCUCAGGGACCCCCACGUUCUUCAGCAGAUUUAUACCAUAACAAACGAGAUGUUCUCAAAGAAACUGGGACCAACAGUAGAGUUUGAAAUUUCACCUUGUAUUUCUUCCUGUUGGAGGAGUCUAAACAUCUGGGGCCCAGCUGUCAUGUGGAGUUGAUUCCACAGCUGUAUCAUGCCUUUCCUGCCCUUCCUCAUACUAUGCAUUUCUACAUGUAAAAUCUAGCAAUGGAUACAUGCACUUGCUUUGAAAAAAGUGAAAAGUGAAUCCAGGCAUGGAUAACCUACAGUUUUUAGAACAACCCAUGAAGUGGCUGGGGCAAGUAGUACUAUCCACAUUUGACAGAUGAGGAAACACAGACUGAGUGAGAUUGUGGCUUGCUGGUUACACAGCUAACAAGGGACGCCUCCUUCCAAGAACCCAUGUCUUCAGACAGCAAGUCUAGCACUCCUUGAACCACAUCGCCACCUCCACGUGUUGCCAUUUGGCUCAUCAGACAAAAACACUACUUAUGGCCUGGAUCUGCCCUGAGUCUCAAGGAGAAUUCUCACAGCAACUCUAAGUUAUUUUCACAAGGCGAGCAGAAGUUCCUGCUAAUAAUUCCUGGCUCUCUCUUAAUAUUGUCUUCCCUCCUAAUUAAAGAGGAAAUAUG